GUGGCGCCUGCGCCCGGCCGAAAGGCGUCGUGCCCGGACCGCCCCUUGCGGCCUAGACUGGGAGCGCGGCGCCUCCUCGGGCUGGUAGGGUAGGGCCGGGGAUGCACGGGGUCCGCGGUGUUGUGCAGCCCGAGGUCGAGCCCCUUCCCUUGCACCGACGGUAAUGGAGGUGUGAGACGGCGGUCGGAGAUGGUGGGAGAACAGAAGAUGAUUUACUACCAUUACAAAUUGAACUCUCCCCAAGACAGCAUGUGUCAAAUGAGUCUGUAGAAGACCUGCAUGGCUCAGAUCUACUUGAACUUCUUGGGAAUCUGGGACUAAUGCUCUGAACUGAACAUCCCAAAAUUAAUUCCAAGCCUGAGAAACCAUUGGAAUUACAGCUGAAGAAAAGUAAAGUUUUUUACUUUACAAAAAAAAUUUGAGCAGGUACGUUGAAUAUGAUGAGCAGAAGACAGGAAUGCAGCUAACCCUGCAAGAAUAGCAUUCUCCUCUCUC
rnacentral:lncRNA from 14 species